rnacentral:rRNA from 1 species
UACGUGACCUGCCCGCAAGUGGGGGAUACCAGUCCGAAAGGGCUGCUAAUACCGCCUGUGGUCAGCGGGGGUGCCCGCUGAGUAAAGGGUGCUCGCAAGGGUGCCCGCUUGUGGAGGGGCGUGCGGCCGAUUAGCUGGUUGGUGGGGUAAUGGCCUACCAAGGCGACGAUCGGUAGCUGGGCUGAGAGGCCGGACAGCCACACUGGGACUGAGACACGGCCCAG